UACGUAGGGUGCAAGCGUUGUCCGGAAUUAUUGGGCGUAAAGAGCUCGUAGGCGGUCUGUCGCGUCGGAUGUGAAAACCCAGGGCUCAACCCUGGGCCUGCAUUCGAUACGGGCAGACUAGAGUUCGGUAGGGGAGACUGGAAUUCCUGGUGUAGCGGUGAAAUGCGCAGAUAUCAGGAGGAACACCGGUGGCGAAGGCGGGACUCUGGGCCGAUACUGACGCUGAGGAGCGAAAGCGUGGGGAGCGAACAGG
rnacentral:rRNA from 1 species